rnacentral:rRNA from 1 species
CUACGGGUGGCACCAGUGGGGAAUUUUGGACAAUGGACGCAAGUCUGAUCCAGCCAUUCCGCGUGCAGGAUGAAGGCCCUCGGGUUGUAAACUGCUUUUGUACGGAACGAAAAGGUCUCUCCUAAUACGAGGGGCUCAUGACGGUACCGUAAGAAUAAGCACCGGCUAACUACGUGCCAGCAGCCGCGGUAAUACGUAGGGUGCAAGCGGUAAUCGGAAUUACUGGGCGUAAAGCGUGCGCAGGCGGUUAUAUAAGACAGAUGUGAAAUCCCCGGGCUCAACCUGGGAACUGCAUUUGUGACUGUAUAGCUAGAGUACGGUAGAGGGGGAUGGAAUUCCGCGUGUAGCAGUGAAAUGCGUAGAUAUGCGGAGGAACACCGAUGGCGAAGGCAAUCCCCUGGACCUGUACUGACGCUCAUGCACGAAAGCGUGGGGAGCAAACAGGAUUAGAUACCCCGGUAGUC